rnacentral:tRNA from 1 species
GAUCAGGUGGCCGAGUGGUUAAGGCGAUGGACUGCUAAUCCAUUGGGGUUUUUCCCUGCGUGAGUUCGAAUCUCAUCCUGAUCG